rnacentral:rRNA from 1 species
GACGAACGCUGGCGGCGUGCUUAACACAUGCAAGUCGAGCGGUAAGGCCCUUUCGGGGGUACACGAGCGGCGAACGGGUGAGUAACACGUGGGUGACCUGCCCUCAGCUCUGGGAUAAGCCUGGGAAACCGGGGUCUAAUACUGGAUAUGACUCCAUGACGCAUGUUGUGGGGUGGAAAGCCUUGUGCGGCUGAGGAUGGGCCCGCGGCCUAUCAGCUUGUUGGUGGGGUGAUGGCCUACCAAGGCGACGACGGGUAGCCGGCCUGAGAGGGCGACCGGCCACACUGGGACUGAGACACGGCCCAGACUCCUACGGGAGGCAGCAGUGGGGAAUCUUGCGCAAUGGGCGAAAGCCUGACGCAGCGACGCCGCGUGAGGGAUGACGGCCU